UUAAGUUCAGCGGGUAUCCCUACCUGAUCCGAGGUCAACCUGGUGCCGCCGCGAGGACGGGCUUUAUGUUUCCGGCGGGCGCCGCCGACCACCAAUGCGAGGCUAAUGCUACUACGCAGAGGAUGGGCCAACGGGUCCGCCACUGGUUUUAGGGGGCUACGGCAGCCGUAGGUCCCCAACGCCGAGCCCGAAGACGGCUC
rnacentral:misc_RNA from 1 species